rnacentral:pre_miRNA from 1 species
UAACUACUCCCUCCGUUCGGAAUUAGUUGUCGUAGAAAUGGAUGUAUCUAGAUGUAUUUUAGUUCUAGAUACAUCCAUUUCCGAGACAAGUAAUUCCGAACGGAGGGAGUAUAUC